rnacentral:rRNA from 1 species
UACGGAGGGUGCAAGCGUUAUCCGGAUUCACUGGGCUUAAAGGGUGCGUAGGUGGGUUUGUAAGUCAGUGGUGAAAUCUCCGUGCUUAACACGGAAACUGCCAUUGAUACUAUGUUUCUUGAAUUUUCUGGAGGUUAGCGGAAUAUGUCAUGUAGCGGUGAAAUGCUUAGAUAUGACAUAGAACACCAAUUGCGAAGGCAGCUUACUACACAAUGAUUGACGCUGAGGCACGAAAGCGUGGGGAUCAAACAGG